AUCGCGGUUGACGAAGUUAUUGUGAGUUGCCAACUCACGGGUCAGGGCAGUUUCUGGUCAGCGUUCGAUCUCUGCGGUGAUC
rnacentral:tRNA from 1 species